rnacentral:rRNA from 1 species
CAGUCGCCGCGGUAAUACGUAGGGUGCAAGCGUUAAUCGGAAUUACUGGGCGUAAAGCGUGCGCAGGCGGUUUGUUAAGACAGAUGUGAAAUCCCCGGGCUCAACCUGGGAACUGCAUUUGUGACUGGCAAGCUAGAGUAUGGCAGAGGGGGGUGGAAUUCCGCGUGUAGCAGUGAAAUGCGUAGAGAUCGGGAGGAACAUCAGUGGCGAAGGCGGCCAUCUGGGACAACACUGACGCUGAGGCACGAAAGCGUGGGGAGCAAACAGGAUUAGAUACCCGCGUAGUCCCUGUCUCUUAUAA